rnacentral:rRNA from 1 species
CCUACGGGAGGCAGCAGUGAGGAAUAUUGGUCAAUGGGCGAGAGCCUGAACCAGCCAAGUCGCGUGAAGGAUGACGGCCCUACGGGUUGUAAACUUCUUUUGUCAGGGAGCAAUUGUGUCCACGCGUGGGCUUAGCGAGAGUCCCUGAAGAAAACGCAUCGGCUAACGCCGUGCCAGCAGCCGCGGUAAUACGGAGGAUGCGAGCUUUAUCCGGAUUUAUUGGUUUUAAGGGGUGCGUAGGCGGAAGAUAAAGUCAGCGGUAAAAUUUCGGGGCUAAACCCCGUAGUGCCGUUGAAACUGGUGGUCUUGAGUGGGCGAGAAGUAGGCGGAAUGCGUGGUGUAGCGGUGAAAUGCAUAGAUAUCACGCAGAACUCCGAUUGCGAAGGCAGCAUACCGGCGCCCAACUGACGCUGAAGCACGAAAGCGUGGGUAUCGAACAGGAUUAGAUACUCGAGUAGUC